CUCCACGAAAUGCAUUGAGGCGCAGCAGUUGACUGCGUAUCUAGGGGUAAAGCACUGUUUCGGUGCGGACCGCGAGAGCGGUACCAAGUCGAGUAAUACUAGAUAUGACCUCCAAAUAACGGCCAGUGAGAUGAUGGGGGAUAAGCUUCAGCGUCAAGAGGGAACAGCCUGGAUCACCAGCUAAGGCCCCUAAAUGACCGCUCAGUGAUAAAGGAGGUAGGGGUGCAGAGAAAGCCAGGAGGUUUGCCUAGAAGCAGCCACCCUUGAAAGAGUGGAACGCAAAAUCAAUUGGCCAAACAUUCUUCCUCGUUUUUAGUUUAAUGAGUUUCAUGUGUCAUGUUGUGUAUCCUUGCAUUUGUUGACAUGAUAAUGGUG
rnacentral:ncRNA from 1 species